rnacentral:rRNA from 1 species
AUUGAACGCUGGCGGCAUGCUUUACACAUGCAAGUCGAACGGCAGCACGGGUGCUUGCACCUGGUGGCGAGUGGCGGACGGGUGAGUAAUACAUCGGAACGUGUCCAGAAGAGGGGGAUAACGCAUCGAAAGAUGUGCUAAUACCGCAUAUGCUCUGAGGAGGAAAGUAGGGGAUCGAAAGACCUUACGCUUUUGGAGCGGCCGAUGUCUGAUUAGCUAGUUGGUGGGGUAAGGGCCUACCAAGGCGACGAUCAGUAGUUGGUCUGAGAGGACGACCAGCCACACUGGGACUGAGACACGGCCCAGACUCCUACGGGAGGCAGCAGUGGGGAAUUUUGGACAAUGGGCGCAAGCCUGAUCCAGCAAUGCCGCGUGAGUGAAGAAGGCCUUCGGUUGUAAGCUCUUUCAGUCGAGAAGAAAGGAC